UCUCCGAUUGAAACUUUGAAGUUGCUGCCAUGGAGGAGAGUUUCAGAGUGAGAGUCGACAAGACAUUUGGAUCUCUUACAGCCUCAUCAUCAGCGCAGCUGAGUUCCCUCUGGUGUCUCACGGCCGACGAGAUUGAGAGAAACGAGGAGGUUUCUGAACCUCGGACCAACAGCUUCCUGGGGAAAAAGAAGUCGAUGGACUCUCAUGCGCAGCUAGAGAACGACCUGGCGGAAUUAUAUGUUGACGAGGAUGGCCAUGAGGACGAUUACGACGAGGAGUGGGAGAUCAAAGCUUCUAUUGGAUUGGACUCUACUCUUGAUUUUGAGGAAGAGGAUGACGAAUACGACAAAGUGGCUGUAGGCAAGGAAAAUAAAGAAGACCGGUUGUACAUGAAAGACGUGAACAACUACGAGACGGAAGCUGAUGACUGGGAUGCACUCCCAACAUCUUUCAAGGACCUGGCAAGGGACCCACGUGCCAAUCACAUUGCUGCAAAGAUACGGCUCAAAGAGGAUGCUGAAACUGCUAAGAAGAUGAACUCUUUGCAUGUCUCUGUGGUAUCUCAGGAUGAUCAGUUUAUGUCCCCAUCCAUAAUCAGAGCAGCUCUGGGGGUGUCUGAAAAUAAAGCAGGUUUUCAAGUGUCUGAGGAUAAUCGGUCUUGGUCCAUGUCAACCCAACCGAAGGUGUCUGAAUCUGAUGAUAACAACUCGCUGUCCCUUUCUGAAGCCAGAGAAUCUUUGUCGGCAUUUGCUGAGAAGGCUUCUGUUUGCACUUCGGAGUAUGGUGGUCUUAAAAAAAUACUAAAGAGGAAGGAUGUUCAGAUUGAUCCUAAGUUGCGGAAGCGUGUUCGUUUUAGUUCAGAUUACUGCAGGGAUGAACGAGGGGAAAAAGACUCUGAAAUGCAGACAUUUUCAGCUGAUGAGAAUAAAGUAGAGAAGGAAUAUCUGAAUCAGGUUCCAGAUUAUAUGCGAAACCCUUCAAAAUACACUCGAUAUACAUUUGGUUCAGAUGAGAUGGAUGAAGAAUCCAACCGCAAAGCCUACAUGGACUUUAUCAACAUGAUGAAGAGUGAAGAGCAUUCUUCAGUGGAGUUGCCAAGAUCAGUAUCCUUUGUACCAAAAAGAAAACCACCGGCUGAAACAGAAUUAGGACAAAAGAAAGUAGGCAAGGAUUCAGUGGGUAAAAGAGGUGUAAUGGCCGUUGAUGCUGUAGAGGAUGAUGAAGUCUGUCCAAUGAAAGAAGCUGAUGAUACCUCGGAAACAGCAGUAAAUGUUAUGAUGAGAAGUGAUAAGCAGAGAUAUAGCCGCCAAUAUCGAAACAAAGUGAAGGAAAGGCCAUGAUGAUUGUUAAUUGCUCCCCUUACGAAUACAAAGUGAAGGAUGAGCCUUAAUGAUUGUUAAUUGUUCCACUUGAUAUGAUACAAAGUGAAGGGAGAGCCUGUUGAAUGUUAAUUGCUCCACUAUAUGUUCUCUCUUUUUUAUCCCGUGCAACGUGCAUUUGGGAUUUGAGUGGGAUCUGAUAAGAAAAAAGAACUGAAAUUUGUCAGAAGUUGAUACUUCUGUCCAUCUGUUCUAAAAUUCAUGUCCAGGAACUGAUUUCUUAGGCGAAUCACCCAGACUGAGUUUAACUGAGAACUAGGGCGAGCUUAGUGUUGGUGAAAUUUUUGUACGCCCUAAUCUGUGACUUGAGCUCUAUCUCCUGAUUCGGCUUCUGAUUCUCAAGUUGCUGCUGAGCAGGUCUAGCAUUGAGCCAGGUACCACUGUGACUGUCAGGUGGAGUGGAAAGCCAGUCUUCCUCAGGCGCCGAACAGAUGAGGAUAUCAAUCUGGCAACACAAUGUUGAUUUGUUAUCUCUUUGGGAUGCAGAAAGUGAAGAACCCAGAAUGGCUCAUUGUGGUCGGGUUAUGCGCUCAUCUAGGCUGCGUUCCCUUGCCCAAAGGCUGGAGACUUUGGGGGAGCCAUGGCUCUCAUUACGACAUUUUUGGCAGGAACCUGGCUCAUCCCUGGACGACAAGAAGUUGCUGAUUGGUUCAGAAAGUAAAUGUUUUUUUGCUCACGGCAGAAAAUAUUACAAAAAGAAAAAGAGUUUAUUGAUUCAGUUGGAUAAGAGCCAGUAAACGGUUGGGGGAACAAAACUCUGUUGGGUGUUGGGUAUUAGGUCCAGUUUGUUUAUGAAACUUAAAUAUGUGAGUUUAAACAUUAACUUUCGUGGCCUUUUUUGUGAAUGUGAAAGCUUGCUGUUAGAUGUUCUA